CAACGUUAAUCGGGGCAGGGUGAGUCGACCCCUAAGGCGAGGCCGAAAGGCGUAGUCGAUGGGAAACAGGUUAAUAUUCCUGUACUUGGUGUUACUGCGAAGGGGGGACGGAGAAGGCUAUGUUGGCCGGGCGACGGUUGUCCCGGUUUAAGCGUGUAGGCUGGUUUUCCAGGCAAAUCCGGAAAAUCAAGGCUGAGGCGUGAUGACGAGGCACUACGGUGCUGAAGCAACAAAUGCCCUGCUUCCAGGAAAAGCCUCUAAGCAUCAGGUAACAUCAAAUCGUACCCCAAACCGACACAGGUGGUCAGGUAGAGAAUACCAAGGCGCUUGAGAGAACUCGGGUGAAGGAACUAGGCAAAAUGGUGCCGUAACUUCGGGAGAAGGCACGCUGAUAUGUAGGUGAAGUCCCUCGCGGAUGGAGCUGAAAUCAGUCGAAGAUACCAGCUGGCUGCAACUGUUUAUUAAAAACACAGCACUGUGCAAACACGAAAGUGGACGUAUACGGUGUGACGCCUGCCCGGUGCCGGAAGGUUAAUUGAUGGGGUCAGCGCAAGCGAAGCUCUUGAUCGAAGCCCCGGUAAACGGCGGCCGUAACUAUAACGGUCCUAAGGUAGCGAAAUUCCUUGUCGGGUAAGUUCCGACCUGCACGAAUGGCGUAAUGAUGGCCAGGCUGUCUCCACCCGAGACUCAGUGAAAUUGAACUCGCUGUGAAGAUGCAGUGUACCCGCGGCAAGACGGAAAGACCCCGUGAACCUUUACUAUAGCUUGACACUGAACAUUGAGCCUUGAUGUGUAGGAUAGGUGGGAGGCUUUGAAGUGUGGACGCCAGUCUGCAUGGAGCCGACCUUGAAAUACCACCCUUUAAUGUUUGAUGUUCUAACGUGGACCCGUGAUCCGGGUUGCGGACAGUGUCUGGUGGGUAGUUUGACUGGGGCGGUCUCCUCCUAAAGAGUAACGGAGGAGCACGAAGGUUGGCUAAUCCUGGUCGGACAUCAGGAGGUUAGUGCAAUGGCAUAAGCCAGCUUGACUGCGAGCGUGACGGCGCGAGCAGGUGCGAAAGCAGGUCAUAGUGAUCCGGUGGUUCUGAAUGGAAGGGCCAUCGCUCAACGGAUAAAAGGUACUCCGGGGAUAACAGGCUGAUACCGCCCAAGAGUUCAUAUCGACGGCGGUGUUUGGCACCUCGAUGUCGGCUCAUCACAUCCUGGGGCUGAAGUAGGUCCCAAGGGUAUGGCUGUUCGCCAUUUAAAGUGGUACGCGAGCUGGGUUUAGAACGUCGUGAGACAGUUCGGUCCCUAUCUGCCGUGGGCGCUGGAGAACUGAGGGGGGCUGCUCCUAGUACGAGAGGACCGGAGUGGACGCAUCACUGGUGUUCGGGUUGUCAUGCCAAUGGCACUGCCCGGUAGCUAAAUGCGGAAGAGAUAAGUGCUGAAAGCAUCUAAGCACGAAACUUGCCCCGAGAUGAGUUCUCCCUGACCCUUUAAGGGUCCUGAAGGAACGUUGAAGACGACGACGUUGAUAGGCCGGGUGUGUAAGCGCAGCGAUGCGUUGAGCUAACCGGUACUAAUGAACCGUGAGGCUUAACCUUACAACGCCGAAGGUGUUU
rnacentral:rRNA from 1 species